rnacentral:rRNA from 1 species
GAUGAACGCUAGCGGCAGGCCUAACACAUGCAAGUCGAGGGGUAGAGGAAGCUUGCUUCCUUGAGACCGGCGCACGGGUGCGUAACGCGUAUGCAAUCUACCUUUUACAGAGGGAUAGCCCAGAGAAAUUUGGAUUAAUACCUCAUAGUAUUUUCGAAUGGCAUCAUUUGAUUAUUAAAGUUCCAACGGUAAAAGAUGAGCAUGCGUCCUAUUAGCUAGAUGGUAAGGUAACGGCUUACCAUGGCAACGAUAGGUAGGGGUCCUGAGAGGGAGAUCCACCGCACUUGUACUGAGACACGGACCAGACUCGUACGGGAGGCAGCAGUGAGGAAUAUUGGACAAUGGGCGCAAGCCUGAUCCAGCCAUGCCGCGUGCAGGAAGACGCAUCUAUGGUGUGUAAACUGCUUUUGUACGGGAAGAAACACUCCCUCGUGAGGGAGCUUGACGGUACCGUAAGAAUAAGGAUCGGCUAACUCCGUGCCAGCCGCCGCAGUAACAC